rnacentral:rRNA from 1 species
AGAGUUUGAUCCUGGCUCAGGAUGAACGCUGGCGGUCUGCUUAACACAUGCAAGUCGAACGCAACCUUCGGGUUGAGUGGCGGACGGGUGAGUAACGCGUGAGAAUCUGCCUUAGGGUCGGGGACAACCACUGGAAACGGUGGCUAAUACCGGAUGAGCCGAUUGGUGAAAGAUUUAUUGCCCGAAGAGGAGCUCGCGUCUGAUUAGCUAGUUGGUGAGGUAAGAGCUCACCAAGGCAGCGAUCAGUAGCUGGUCUGAGAGGACGAUCAGCCACACUGGGACUGAGACACGGCCCAGACUCCUACGGGAGGCAGCAGUGGGGAAUUUUCCGCAAUGGGCGAAAGCCUGACGGAGCAAGACCGCGUGAGGGAGGAAGGCUCUUGGGUUGUAAACCUCUUUUCUCAGGGAAGAAGCUCUGACGGUACCUGAGGAAUCAGCCUCGGCUAACUCCGUGCCAGCAGCCGCGGUAAUACGGAGGAGGCAAGCGUUAUCCGGAAUUAUUGGGCGUAAAGCGUCCGCAGGUGGCGAUUCAAGUCUGCUGUCAAAGCACGGGGCUUAACUCCGUUAAGGCAGUGGAAACUGAAUAGCUAGAGUGCCGUAGGGGUAGAGGGAAUUCCCGGUGUAGCGGUGAAAUGCGUAGAGAUCGGGAAGAACAUC